GACGAACGCUGGCGGCGUGCCUAACACAUGCAAGUCGAACGGAACCUUCGGGUCUAUGCGCUCACGGGUUCGUAACCCGAGGGGACCUUCACGUGUGUUCAGCCUACCCCCCCGAGGGGGAUGCCAGUACCGGACAAUUUCUUAUACCGAAUGAUUUAUCGCCUUUGGAUGGGCCCGCGGUGGAUUAGCUAGUUGGUAGGGUAAAAGCCUACCAAGGCGACGAUCCAUAGCUGGUCUGAGAGGAUGAUCAGCCACACUGGGACUGAGACACGGCCCAGACUCCUACGGGAGGCAGCAGUGGGGAAUAUUGGACAAUGGGCGAAAGCCUGAUGCAGCAAUGCCGCGUGAGUGAUGAAGGUCUUAGGGUUGUAAAGCUCUGUUAUCAGGGAUGAUAAUGACAGUACCGGGAGAAUAAGCGCCGGCUAACUACGUG
rnacentral:rRNA from 1 species